rnacentral:rRNA from 1 species
ACCAAGGAGUCUAACAUGUGUGCGAGUCUUUGAGUGACCGAAACUCCGAGGCGUAAUGAAAGUGAAGGCGACUUCGGUCGCUGAGGUGAGAGCCUUUUUCCAAAAAAAGAAGGCGCAUCAUUGACCGACCUAUUCUACUCUUAGAAAGGUUUGAGUAAGAGCGCAUCUGUUGGGACCCGAAAGAUGGUGAUCUAUGCCUGAAUAGGGUGAAGCCAGAGGAAACUCUGGUGGAGGCUCGUAGCGAUUCUGACGUGCAAAUCGAUCGUCAAAUUUGGGUAUAGGGGCGAAAGACUAAUCGAACUUUCUAGUAGCUGGUUCCCUCCGAAGUUUCCCUUUAGGAUAGCUGGAACUUACGGCAGUUUUAUCAGGUAAAGCGAAUGAUUAGAGGUCUUAGGGUUAAAACAACCUUAACCUAUUCUCAAACUUUAAAUUGGUAAGAAGUCCGACUUGCUUAAUUGAAGCCGGACAGUGAAUGCGAGUUCCUAGUGGGCCAUUUUUGGUAAGCAGAACUGGCGAUGCGGGAUGAACCGAACGCGCGGUUAAGGUGCCAAAGUCGACGCUCAUCAGACCCCACAAAAGGUGUUGGUUGCUCUAGACAGCAGGACGGUGGCCAUGGAAGUUGGAAUCCGCUAAGGAGUGUGUAACAACUCACCUGCCGAAGCAGCUAGCCCUGAAAAUGGAUGGCGCUCAAGCGUCGCACCUAUACCGUGCCGUCGGAGCAGAUGCGAAGCUCCGACGAGUAGGAGGGCGUGGGGGUCGUGACGCAGCCUCUGGCGCGAGCCUGGGUGAAACGGCCUCCAGUGCAGAUCUUGGU